ensembl:lncRNA
GUUGAGAGAGAGAGAAGGAAGACGCUCUCUGCGAGCUAGAGAGAGCGUCGUAUUGUGACGGACGGAAGGAAGAUUCAACGUUGUCCUUUUGUGCGUUAUGUUUGUUUGACUGAAGGGGAAAUAAACAGGAGUUCGCUCCAUUUCUCCUAAGAACUGUGUCCUGACUCGUUGGAACCCGUUACAGUGGCGCCCAACGUGGGGCGAGUCAAGAAUGGAACAAUCGCCAUUGGCCAGUGUCCUCGGACACCUGGCGCAGACAGCAGAGCUACAGACCCAGCUACAGCAGGCCCAGAACGAGGUCCUGGUGGAGCUGGCUCGCUCCUUGGCCGCCGACCGGGAGGCCAUGCGGGAGCUACUCGGCUCCGGAAAACGCGGCGGGGUAACCCGACCGGGCCAACAAAUAUUUAUGCCUAAAAUGGGGGAGGCUGACGACCCAGAGGCCUUUCUGGGACCUUCCGAGGGGUGGCCGAGGUCUCAGAGUGGCCGCCGCAGGAGUGGGCCCACCGUCUCCUGCCUCUGCUGACGGGAGAGGCCCAGCUCGCAGCCCACAGCCUACCAGCGGCGGCCCAGAACAACUUCAACCUCGUCGCCAGGGCUAUCCGGGACCGGUUGGGCCUAAACCCGGAGGAACAUCGCCGGCGGUUCCGGGCCCUGGCCUUCACCGACGGCGACCGGGCCUUCACCUACGCCCAGCAGCUGCGGGACCAGGCGAGGAGGUGGCUGGCCCCGGAACAAAACACACAUAGUGGAGCAGGUGGCCCUGGAGAGGUUCGUCGAGGGGCUUCCAACCAGAACAUCUACCUGGGUCCGGUACCACCAGCCCGGGAGCCUCUCGGCGGCCGUCAACAUCGCGGAGGGCCACCUGGCUCCCCCUCUGUCGGACCGACGACCGAUCCCGAGCCCGCGGACCGGUGCAGCAGCCCUGCAGCGGGACAGGCCCACCCCGGGACCGAGGGCGAGAUGGGGGGGGGGUCCCAGUCACGAGCAGGCACAUAGUGCACCUUCCCACCCCAUCCCGCAGACGGGCACUCAGACGGCAGGGGAGGCGUGCUGGCGGUGUGGACGGCCGGGCCACCUUCGGCGGUACUGUCCGUUGAUGGAGGUGGGCCAGGUCGUCCGCGUCACCGGUGCCCCGGUUCUUCCCCACGGUCCCGGCGAGGCGUACCGUAUCCCGGCAGACGCGUCGGAUAGGGGGUUGGGCGCGGUCCUGACCCAGCAGGUGGAGAGGACCGACCGUCCGGUGCUGUACCUGAGCCGCAAGCUGUCGGACAGCGAGGGUCGGUACAGCACGGUAGAGAAGGAGUGUCUCGCCAUCCGGUGGGCGGUCGGUGCCCUUCGCUACUACCUGCUGGGUCGCCAGUUCACCCUCUACUCCGACCACGCCCCCCUCCAGUGGCUCCACCGGAUGAAGGAUGCCAACGCGAGGAUCACCCGGUGGUGCCUCGCGCUGCAGCCGUUCAAUUUCCGGGUGGCCCACAGGCCGGGGGCGCAGAUGGUCGUGGCAGACUUCCUCUCCCGUCCCGGGGGGGGGGAGUAGGUUUACGGCCGGAUGGGUCCCCGGCCUGUGUCGGGCGGUUGGGGUAUGUGGAGGUGGGGAGGCGUCUGGCCUGCAGGGGGAGUAUGGAGCACCGGGUCUGCUGGGGUGAUGGGGUCUGAUUGCGGACAGGUGUCUGCAAUCUGACCCAAUCAGGAAGUGUGUAUUUAUGUGCCUGCUUGUCUUUCAGUCGGGUUUGAGAGAGACAGAAGGAAGACGCUCUCUGCGAGCUAGAGAGAGCGUCGUAUCACCGAGUGACGGACGGAAGGAACAUUCAACGUUGUCCUUUUGUCCUUUUGUGCGUUAUGUUUGUUUGACUGAAGGGGAAAUAAACAGGAGUUCGCUCCAUUUCUCCUAAGAACUGUGUCCUGACUCGUUGGAACCCGUUACAGUGUUGAUGUGUGCAUGUGCACGGUGCUGGUGUGUGCUUGUGCACGGGGCUGAUGUAUGUGUGCACGGUGCUGGUACACGUUGCUGAUGUGCGUGUGCACGGUGCUGAUGCACGUGUGCACAGUGCUGUUGUGCGUGUGCACGGUGCUGAUGUUUAUAGCCAUCCCUCUUCCUGAGUUUCAUAAUACUGUUGCUUUCUGUUCCCCUCAAUCAACUAUAUAUAUACCUGUAUAUGGCUCUGCGCUUCCUACAUUUAGUCAAAAGCCAUUUGUGAAGUAAUGUUACCGCUACAGUAUAUGCCAC